rnacentral:lncRNA from 1 species
UGUAAACAUUUUUUUUUUUUUUUUUUUUUAGCGGCUGCAGAAAUUCCAGCUACUCCUGCAAACUUGAAAUAAUCUGCUGGCUUGACAGUUUGACUACUACGUUUAGACUGUCCCAAAACAUGUCACUGACUGAUAAGAACAGCAAAAUCCAGCUUUCUCCAGACUCUUCAAACCUCUUCGAGUUGCCACUAGGUAGGAAAGUCCACGUCAGGCCGAAAGAGCACUGCGUCCUCCACACCACUCGUCUCUGUAAAAGGUUAUUCAUGCAGAAGAGUGACUUUGAUUUAUCGGACCCAAAUGGCUUCCGAAUGACCUCGGCGUACAACUGCCUCCACGACCCCAACCUGAGGAGAUAUUUGUAUCGCAGAGAUUUGCACAGGCACCUUAUUGAUGACGGCUUCAUCACAGAAGAUGACAAAGUGAGGCGUUAUACUUUAUACUACACAUGUCACUGAGUUAUUAGUAAAUGCCAGAUUUAAAAAAAAAAAAAACCUCUUUUUUUUGUGCAGGUGAUAUGUUCCCCGACAGAAUUCAACAAGUUUAAGGACUAUUUGGCUGAAGUACAGCUAGGUUGGGAUCUCAAAUUUAAGAUGGAGCAGGUGACAUAAAGUAUUGUAUUGUCAUUUUAUUGUCACUCCACUGUAGUGGAGCUUCACUGUGAGAAUGUUCUAAGGUUAGACAAUUUGCUUUGUGAUGAACUGCCGAAGGGAGCUGGCUGACCAUGUUUUUUAUGGUUAUAGAAAAAAAUAGUGCACGCAUUCCUGGUUCAGCAAGAGCAGGGGAAGAUCACUGCAGAUGAGAGUUUAUCUGAGCUAAUAGAGACACUGCUGUGUAGAGGACAGAUGUACUUUAGAAAUCAGGAGGAGGCUACUAGGGAGAGGUAAGUUAACCACCUUGUAUUAAACAUCUGAGGGGGUGCGGUGGCACAGCGGGUUUGGCCAGGGCCUGCUCUCCUGUGGGUCUGGGGUUUGAAUCCUGCUUGGGGUGCCUU